GAAGAGCUUUUUACGGCCAUCUACAGGUAACACCCAUCACUUUGAAACCAACAACCCAUAUAAGAUUCUGUUUAUUUUUAAAGGACUUAGGAGACUCAAUCCAUUUACUCAAAUGGCACAACCCAGGAGGAAGUUGCCAUUUAAUUUAAAAUAACAUCCCCCACCCCCACUACUACCCCAGAUUUUGCUCGUCUGAUGUUUAAAUUGAUCAGAUUCCUGAGGAGGUGCAACUUGACCCUUCCUUCCAAAGGACUACUCACAAACUCAGUGUUUAUGUAGAAAAUGGAGUUCUUAUCUUUCUCCUGAGCCUUUUUGUUUUUCAAGUCUAGGUCUGCAGGUCACUAGCCUGGAAAACCUGGGAAAGGUUUGACCCAUUCAGGUGACCUUUUGUGCCUGGAAUAGGUUUAGUCAAAUGGGAUUGGAUUGCAGGCUGACCUCAGGGUGCCUGCCCUGUGUUCCAGGGGAUUUCUUUAAAGACCCUCUUCCG
rnacentral:sRNA from 1 species